rnacentral:rRNA from 1 species
CACGAAGCGGUGGAGCAUGUGGUUUAAUUCGAAGCAACGCGAAGAACCUUACCAGGUCUUGACAUCCCUGACAACCCGAGAGAUCGGGCGUUCCCCUUCGGGGGGCAGGGUGACAGGUGGUGCAUGGUUGUCGUCAGCUCGUGUCGUGAGAUGUUGGGUUAAGUCCCGCAACGAGCGCAACCCUCGACCUUAGUUGCCAGCAUUCAGUUGGGCACUCUAAGGUGACUGCCGGCUAAAAGUCGGAGGAAGGUGGGGAUGACGUCAAAUCAUCAUGCCCCUUAUGACCUGGGCUACACACGUGCUACAAUGGGCGGUACAAAGGGUCGCGAACCCGCGAGGGGGAGCCAAUCCCAAAAAGCCGCUCUCAGUUCGGAUUGCAGGCUGCAACUCGCCUGCAUGAAGCCGGAAUCGCUAGUAAUCGCGGAUCAGCGUGCCGCGGUGAAUACGUUCCCGGGCCUU